UUCAUGCACUGGAAAUUAUGAUCAUUGGCUCUUAACAGGCCUGCAUUCUUUGAGACCUUGAUAGCCAAACUAAUUAUUAAAUCUGCUAUGCAGGACUGGCGACAAGCACCAACGGAUCAGUGACAACGCAUGCACUCUUCUCAUCUCUGGACCUUUUGUGGUGUUGGAACAGCUGCCUGGGUGGCUGAACACCUGACCAUGAGUUGAUUAUGCUCUGUCAGGGUCUGCCUGAAGGACAGGCGUGAUAUCCAUCUGUUAAUCUCGCAUUGGGACAGACCGAGCUCCACACACAGAGACAUGCGUCGUCCGUCUCGAAUCCCAACACAUGGCUGAGCGAGACGAGACAGCCUCCCAAAACGUGUGUAAAGACACGACAGCAAUGAUGAGCAGCAGAAAGAAAAUAGACAGAGGGUGUCUGGCAAAACAAUCUGCUGAAAAUGUCGCCCCGCAUUGCUUCAUGUUGGACAACACUGCAUCAUGUUGGACAGGGCUGCAUCAUGUUGGACGGCACUGCUUCAUGUUGGACAGCACUGCAUCAUGUUGGACAGGGCUGCAUCAUGUUGGACGGCACUGCUUCAUGUUGGACAGCACUGCAUCAUGUUGGACAGGGGCUGCAUCAUGUUGGACGGCACUGCUUCAUGUUGGACAGCAUUGCAUCAUGUUGG